GACGUAGGAGGCGAGCGUUGUCCGGAUUCAUUGGGCGUAAAGAGCGCGCAGGCGGCUUGGUAAGUCGGAUGUGAAAUCCCGAGGCUCAACCUCGGGUCUGCAUCCGAUACUGCCCGGCUAGAGGUAGGUAGGGGAGAUCGGAAUUCCUGGUGUAGCGGUGAAAUGCGCAGAUAUCAGGAAGAACACCGAUGGCGAAGGCAGCUCUCUGGGACGGUACUGACGCUGAGACGCGAAAGCGUGGGGAGCGAACAGG
rnacentral:rRNA from 1 species